rnacentral:misc_RNA from 1 species
GAUGAAGAACGCAGCGAAAUGCGAUAAGUAAUGUGAAUUGCAGAAUUCAGUGAAUCAUCGAAUCUUUGAACGCACCUUGCGCCCUUUGGCUAUUCCGAAGGGCAUGCCUGUUUGAGUAUCGUGAACACCUCAACUCUCAUGGUUUGCCAUGAUGAGCUUGGACUUUGGGGGUUUUGCUGGCCUUUGGUCGGCUCCUCUCAAACGGUUCAGCUUUCCAGUGUUUGGUGGCGUCACGGGUGUGAUAACUAUCUACGCCUGUGGUUUUCUGCCAGAUAACCUUCAGCGAUGGAGGUUCGCUGGGGCUCAUAAAUGUCUCUCUUCAGUGGAGACAGCUUUUUGGACGUUUGAUCUCAAAUCAGGUAGGACUACCCGCUGAACUUAAGCAUAUCAAUAAGCGGAGGA